UACAAAGGGGGCUAGCGUUGCUCGGAAUUACUGGGCGUAAAGCGCACGUAGGCGGUCUUUUAAGUCGGGGGUGAAAUCCUGGAGCUCAACCCCAGAACUGCCUUCGAUACUGGAAGACUCGAGUCCGGGAGAGGUGAGUGGAACUGCGAGUGUAGAGGUGAAAUUCGUAGAUAUUCGCAAGAACACCAGUGGCGAAGGCGGCUCACUGGCCCGGUACUGACGCUGAGGUGCGAAAGCGUGGGGAGCAAACAGG
rnacentral:rRNA from 1 species